CAGAUUCCCAAACCUUGUUUCCCAGGCCUGAGCCUUGCUUUCAGUGUGAAAAUUGGCAUAGUCAGCAGGCUUCAGCCCAGGUAAGAGAUACAUUGACCCUGUGGGGCAAGGGGGGAACCUGUGGCCACCAGGUAGUAUGUGGUCACCACAGUCAUAUUGAAAUGGGCUCCUAUGGAGAAUUGGGAUACCAUGGAUGGGUCACCUGUGAAUGCAAAGGAACCUUUGCAAACGUUGAGUUCCAGCUUAAAAGACAGUGUUGCCCAGGAAGCAGCGGGACAAGAGGGGUGGAUUUUUCUCCCUGCUUUGAAAACCAACACAGACCAGGCUCUACCAGAAGCUGCCCAGCUCCAGGCCCUCCAGGGGAAGCAGGAAGCCUUGAAGCAGCGCAUUUGCGGUUUGGAAGCUGAUAUAUAUGAAACAGGCAGGACCUCGACCUUGUAGGUCACGGUGGAAUCUGAAGAAGAGUCUGAGGAGAAGCCCUGGCUACAAGCCCACCCCACGAUGCAGAAGAUGAGACAUGAGCAGCCCCAGAACCUUGGAGGUCAGGCACUGGGAGAGGCAAAUGCUACAGAGUACACUACAUACUGGCCAGACACACAGGCAGAAUAAGUGGACUUGGGCAAGCAGUGUCACCAGCAGCUUGGGGAGUCCCUGGCUGUGUGGUUUUUGUGAUUGUGGGAUCUAGGGGUGGACAGCAUGGUCUGCUGUCCAGAGGAGAUGGAGCACCUGGCAUCCAUCACAACCCACCCUUCCCUGAGACAGCCAUCGCAGAACAGUUGCAGGCCUGGAAAUGGAAUCGCUCCCCAAUAGACUGGGGAUGUAUGCAGCUGUGCGAGCUGUGUGGACUGAGGCUGGUGAGCUGCCCAAAACUGUGAGUAAGUGGCAGUCGUGUGUCGAUUUGGUGCAGAUUCUAUAUGAGUGUGGCAUGCGUCAGGCGAUAUUUAAUCUGAAUACAUGGGGACCAGAUGGUGAAAGAUUUACUGGUGGCAUUAGAGACUUGGUUUUGUAGAAUGCUCCACUCUCCACUUUGAUGGUUACUUUAAGCCACAUAUGUUGGAUGUCCCAUUAAUGAAGUUAGUACUAUGAUGGCUAGCUUGGGGGAAGCCAAGGAGGGCAGAGGGUAGUAAAAAAAAUGCACAUGGUGGCGCAUGCCUGUAAUCUCAGUGGCUCGGGAGGCUGCAGCAGGAGGAUUGUGAGUUCAAAGUCAGCCUCAGCAACUUAGUGAGGCCCUAAGCAACUCAGUGAGACCCUGUCUCUAAAUAAAAUACCAAAUAGGGCUGGGAUGUGGCUCAGUGGUUGAGUGCCCCUGAGUUCAAUUCCCAGUGCCAAAAAAAAAAAAGGUGGGGGGGUACAAUGAGAGGGGUCUGGAAACAAGGUAAACAAAGGAAAAAAGGGCCUGCUAGAGUCACUUGUAUGCAUAUGUGGGCAGGUCUCCUGACAGGAGGGGUAGAUCACCUCAAGACAGACAGUCAGCCCAAUGCAGUCCUCCCUGAGCAACUGGGCCCAAAGCAGCAAAACCUGCGAACAGCAGAGGUGAAUAAGCCACCCUGAGAAGCCAUCCUGUGUAACUGAAAGACUACUUGGCUGCUUCUAAGGGGGAGAAGGGACUUUGGUCCAGUACAUCUAGGAAUCCAGCUAAGGUGCCUGCCCUGUGGGGACAGGUGGGGGCUGAUAGCCACAUGUGGAGCUUGCUAUCCAUGGUCUCCAAACUAUAUGCAGAGGGAAUUGGCCUUGUUGGGGGGCGGGUCCUGGAGCUGAGUGCAGCUUGGUGUUUGACAACCUGGAUAAAUUCCCAGGUCCAUAUGCUCAUAUUGAUGGCUAUGGGGGACAGACCAUCAAGGUAAAGCCAGUGUCCUUACCACGGGGGAUAGGUCAUUUGCCCCUGUGAGCAUAUACGGUACAAGUGUCUGGUAUCCCAGAGUAUAUUUUGGGUAGAGAUGUGUUCCAAGGUCCACUGCUGCAGACCCUGGUGGCAAUUCUGCCUCCAUGUGUGAGAUGUGAAGGUGGAUAUGACAGGAUAUGCAAAACACCCGCCCCAGGUCUUGCCACAACCCUGGAGGACUGUGACAGUGAAACAGUAUUGCCUCAUGGGGGACAUGCAGAAAUUGAAGCUACUGUGCCAGGCAUGGUGGCGCAUGUCUGUAAUCCCAGCGACUCAGGAGGCUGAGGCAGGAGGAUCACGAGUUCAAAGCCAGCCUCAGCGAUGUCAAGGCACUAAGCAACUCAGUGAGAUCCUGUCUCUCAAUAAAACACAAUAAAAGGGCUGGGGAUGUGGUUCAGUGGUGGAGUGCCCCUGCGUUAAAAAAAAAAAAAAAACUGGAGCUACUGUCUUGGAAGUGGAGGAAGUAGGCAAAAUAUGGCCCCCAGCCCGCCCCUUUAACUCUCCAGUGUGACCACUGAAGAAGCCUGAGGGCACGUGGAGAAUGCCUGUGGAUUACCAAGAAUGGAACAGAGUGGUGCCUUCCCUGUAUGCAGCGGUUCCCGCAGUGCAUGAUCUCAUGGACCAGCCAACUCUGUGCCCUAAUCGCUCUGCGCUGGACCUGGCUAAUGCUUUCUUUUCUAUUGCUCUGGCCCCAGGGAGCCAGAAGCAGUUUGUCUUCACAUGGAAAGGCUGGCAGCGGACAUUUCAAGUGUUGCCACAAGGUUAUUUGCAUAGCCUGACCACAUGCCAUGGUUUGGUGGCUAGUGACCUGAUCCAGUGGACUCAGCCACCUACUGCACGUUUCAUUAUGCUGAUGAUGCUUCGUUGACUUCUCUCUUAUACGAAUUUAGAGCUUGCAUCCCCGACCUUAGUGGCCCAUUUGAAGACGUGUGGCUGGUAGUAAACGCUGCCAAGGUGCAGGGGCCUGGCUUCUUGGUUACGUUCUUGGGUGUUUUUUGGUUGGGUGAAAUGAAAGCUGUGCCAGAAGUCAGGCACGGUGGCACAUGCCUGUAAUCCCGGCAGCUCUGGAGGCUCAGGCAGGAGGAUCACGAGUUUAAAGCCAGCCUCAGCAACUGCAAGGCACUAAACAACUCAGUGAGACCCUGUUUCUAAAUAAAAUAAAAAUAGGGCUGGGGAUGUGCCUCAGUGGUUAAGCACCCAUGGGUUUGAUCCUCAGUACCAAAAAAAAAAAAAGAGUUGUGCCAGAAGCUUUUGAGAAAAUCCAAGCAUAUGACCAACAACAGUUGCACAAUUGCAAACCUCUGUGGGCUCAUUGGGAUAUUGGCAGGCUUUCAGUCCCCAUGUAGCCCUGUUGUGUCAUCCCCUGUAUGCUCUAGUGAAGAAAGGGGCACCGGGGGACUGGAGUGAAGUGCUGAGCUGGCCUUUCAGGCCACGAAGAGGGCCACUCAGCAAGCUCAGGUCCUGCAUUGGUAGACCCCCUCACCCCUUUGAGCUGGAUGUUCAUGUAACCCGGGAGGGUUUGGGGUGGGGCCUGUGCAGUAGCAGGAGCGGCUGUGAAGACCAGUGGGUUUCCGUCACAGUAGUGAAGAGUACAGAGGAUCUCUGCACCCUGAUGGAGCAGCAGCUUGCAGCCCUGUGUGUAGCCUGGUGGCCAGGAGGCCAUUACUGGUGCUGCUGAGGGUUUGGUGCCUACCACGAAUCCUUUGAGAGGAGAGGUGUGGAACUGGGCAGUCACCCCGAGGACAGGCAUAGUCCUGAUGCCUGCUCUAGUGAAACGGGGCAUAUUUAGAACACAGGAGAGCUUUGUCCACUAGUCCUCUGACCCAUGAACUUCAACAGGUUCCAGGGCUGCUGCAGUAUGCACCUGAGGAAGCACCAGACCAUGCUGAUGAACUUGAGCUGACAGAGUCAUGCCCUUUAAGGAAGGGCCAGCCCUGUGGGCCACAGUGCUUGGAGCAGUGAGGGGUCCAGUACAGGGCCCUCUGCCCAUGGGAGAGCUGUAGCUUCACAGCCCUCUACCGACACCUUGUGGCACAAUGUGGGAAUGAACAGAGCCGCUAGAGGACUGAGUUUGGUGGCACUGCAGGAACCAGGACCCCUGAUUAUCUGUCCAGUUAGUUGGUCUGUUUGAGGGGUUAACUCUGUGGGUGACUACCUGGGAAGUAGAGAAUUGGAUGGUAGGGCAUUGGCCUUUGUGGGGUCAAGCCAUGGGGCAGAACCUUGGGGCCACAGGCCAUGAGAAGGAGAUAACUGUAGGACAUGACCCUGGCCACGCCCCCUGACUAGCCCAGGGAAUGAUGGAGCAGAGGCUUGGGCCAGGGUGUGGUGGCAGCUGCAUCAUGCCUACAGCAUGCAGGUGGCUUGUAGUCAAACAGCGGGCUCUGCCUCUAAAAUGGGAUGCCCUGGUAGGGGCCUGCCAGGCACGUAUGGUUUGUGCUCGGCAAUGCUCACACCACCUAUGACUUGGAGCCAGAGGUGGUCAGGUAAUGUGUGGAUGCAUCCCUUUGACAUGAUGGCAGGUUGGCUACGUUGGCCCUUCACCUUUCUGAAGGGGCCACAUUUGCCUUGACGGUAGUGGACAAGCUGCAGCCUUGUUGUUUGCCUGGCCCAGUGGUCAAGUGACCAGAGUACUAUGAUUUGCACCCUGACCAUGUUGACAGCCUUGUAUGGCUGGCCCAUCACAAUAGAGAGUGAUCAAGGGACCCAUUUCCCAGGUUACAAUGUGCAGCAAUGGGCAACUCAGUUACAGAUUCAAUGGAAGGUAUGAGUCCCAGGCCACCCACAAUCUGCUGGACUCAGAACAGCAGUCAACCCACCUGCCACCAACAGGUGGGCACAGCGUCUGGGCAGUUGUGAGAGCUCUGAAUGUGUGUCUCCAACGAGGGGGACCAGCUCCUGUUAAGGCUUUGCUGCACUGCACAGGGCCCAAUACAGGUCCAGGUGACAGCAGAGGAUGUGGACUUAAGCCUAGGUUUGAGAAGCAAGGGGAUGUUCUCUACCUGCUCCCACUGGAUUGAGCAGGGCAAACUGUGGCGUGGGUGAGACCCUCAACAAUAAAAAGCCCCCCUCAUUCGUUGGGUAGCCCUGUUAGCCCUAAGGAGAAGAGGCUUGGCAUGUGAUCUCCUUGUGACACCAUAGGUGACUAGUGAAUUGCUCUCCCCGACAGGUGACUUGGCGGGGUCCUGCAGAAGGAACAUAUAAUAAUAAUAAUAAUAAUAAUAAUUAUUAUUAUUAUUAUUUGGUACUGGGGAUUGAACCCAGGAGUGCUUAACCACUGAGCCACAUCCCCAGCCCUUUUUUAAUAUUUUAUUUAGAGACAGGGUCUUGCUGACCUACAUAAGUCCUUGCUAAGUUGUUGAGGCUAAAUUUCAACUUGCAAUCCUCCUGCCUCAGGCUCCCAAGCCACUGGGAUUAUUACAGGCGUGUGCCACUGUGCCUGGCUGGGACACAGAUUUUAGAGGGCACAUUUGUUAUUUCCACUUGGCCAAUUAUGAGUUCCUGGUACUGGUGCACAUAGAGCCUGCUGAAGUUCAGGACCAAGUCGUGUGAGUGUGGGACCACUAUACAUCAGGGAAGCUGCCACAAACAGCCAAGGUACUUCCUUGGGAUUCAGAGCUGGCAUGCAUCCUCCCUGAUGGACAUGACUUGCCUGUGCUAGUGCCUGGAACUGCUUUGUGUUUUUGUCUAUAGGUGUGUUCUUGCUAACACCACCGUGGACUGGGUACAUGCCUACACCAGAGCAGCAAACCCUCUGCCUGCUGGGUACGCACCGAAGUGCCUGGGAGUUCUGCUGCUGGACUACCUGGCAAAUCCAGACUACCACUGGACAGCUAGAUGUGACGGGGAAAGACUUUUAUUGCCACUCAAUAUGGGAUGGCAAUGGCUUUUAUUAAUCCUGGUGAUGGGACUUGUUUUUGAUUGUAUGUUGUUACAAUGUGUAUUUCUGUUGUGGCCUAUGGGUGCAGGGCUCUGUCCUCCUCACUAAGGGGUCAUUGCAGAAGAUUUCAGAUACAUAGAUUGUUCGGUGAGGAAUCUUAAAGGGGUGGUGUUGGGGCAGGACCAGAGUGGUUAUAGUUAGGCUGUCUUGCCAAGGCUUCUGGUGAGCUAUGGUACGCUUUUAGUGUGUGGCCAAGGCCAUGAAUCAGCUAUGUCAUGGUCAGUGUGUAGUCAGGUCAGAAAUACUCUGAUUCAGCCUAUGUACUCAAGUUCAUGAACAUUCACUUGUUAGCAUGCACCCACUUCUGUAACCCAUUAGCCAUGUGCCUUCUUUGUUUGGCCUGCAUAUAAAAAAAAAGGCCUAUGGAAAUGGCUCAGGGGCUGGGUAGAGGCUACUGUCACUUCUGA
rnacentral:lncRNA from 1 species